UAGGGAAUCUUCGGCAAUGGACGAAAGUCUGACCGAGCAACGCCGCGUGAGUGAAGAAGGUUUUCGGAUCGUAAAACUCUGUUGUUAGAGAAGAACAAGGACGUUAGUAACUGAACGUCCCCUGACGGUAUCUAACCAGAAAGCCACGGCUAACUACGUGCCAGCAGCCGCGGUAAUACGUAGGUGGCAAGCGUUGUCCGGAUUUAUUGGGCGUAAAGCGAGCGCAGGCGGUUUCUUAAGUCUGAUGUGAAAGCCCCCGGCUCAACCGGGGAGGGUCAUUGGAAACUGGGAGACUUGAGUGCAGAAGAGGAGAGUGGAAUUCCAUGAGUAGCGGUGAAAUGCGUAGAUAUAUGGAGGAACACCGGUGGCGAAGGCGGCUCUCUGGUCUGUAACUGACGCUGAGGCUCGAAAGCGUGGGGAGCAAACAGG
rnacentral:rRNA from 1 species